GAUGAACGCUGGCGGCGUGCCUAAUACAUGCAAGUCGAGCGAACAGACGAGGAGCUUGCUCCUCUGACGUUAGCGGCGGACGGGUGAGUAACACGUGGAUAACCUACCUAUAAGACUGGGAUAACUUCGGGAAACCGGAGCUAAUACCGGAUAAUAUAUUGAACCGCAUGGUUCAAUAGUGAAAGACGGUUUUGCUGUCACUUAUAGAUGGAUCCGCGCCGCAUUAGCUAGUUGGUAAGGUAACGGCUUACCAAGGCAACGAUGCGUAGCCGACCUGAGGGGGUGGAUGGCCAGACUGGAACAGAGGCACGGUCCAGACUCCUACAGGGAGAAACAGGAGGGAAUCUUCCGGAAUGGGCGAAAGCCUGACAGAGCAACGCCGGCGGAGGCAUGAAGGUCUUCUGAUCGGAAAACUCUGUUAUUAGGGAAGAACAAAAGUUUUAGUAACUAUGCACGUCUUGACAGUACCUAAACAAAAAGCCACGGCUAACUACGUG
rnacentral:rRNA from 1 species